CUUUUUGUAUGUUCUUUGUAUGCCAUUUUUUUUUUAAAUAUUUGAGUUAACCAAUGAUAUUAGGCCACACUUGGCCAUGAUUACAAACACCUGUGUGUCUCUUGACACUAUAUAAAUGACUCAUCUCGCAGUGUUUGUGAUGAUACCCUGAUGAAGACAGCUUUGCUGUCGAAAUGUUGGUUAUAAAAUUUUUGCAUCUGAGCUCUUAGAGUGUGCGGCUUUCCCUUAUUUUCUAGUUUUCUACUCCGCUAGCCAGCACCUCGCCUUUAUAGGUGUGCGUUUCUUUUUUCUAGAUCCCACUGGUUACCUCGCCACUGGGGUCCAGUUUGAGUGUCACACUAUCUAUGGUGAAUACUGGACAACCACACACACAGACACACAAAGACACCAUGACAUCCAAGGCUAAUGCAAACUACUAUUUGGGGUACAAAAUAUCCAAGGCUAAAUUGACUAUUCUUCAAGACUAGCCUGGGAGUUCCCUCUGUGCUUUCUCCUUUACAGUGCAGGUAGAGUCCUCCAGACAGAGGAAGGCCCUUCCCUGGUGCCUGGCGGCCCUCCACAGUAAGCAGGAGAUGUGCCUGGUGACCCUCCACUCCACUGCACAGUAAGCAGGAGGUGUGCCUGGCGGCCCUCCACUCCACUGCACAGUAAGCAGGAGGUGUGCCUGGCGGCCCUCCACUCCACUGCACAGUAAGCAGGAGGUGUGCCUGGCGGCCCUCCACUCCACUGCACAGUAAGCAGGAGGUGUGCCUGGCGACCCUCCACUCCACUGCACAGUAAGCAGGAGGUGGAGGAGGAAGGAAAGGAGGAAAACACUUUAACAAACACAGACCAACCUUCCCCUCCCCUGGGAGGGCUGUGGCUUUACCUUGGCUCCUGUUCGCACUCAAUACCAACAACACUAUUGGGCCUGAGCUGCCACAACAAAGCGGGCAUUUUGUUCCACAUCCUCCCUGGUAAUACUUUUAGAAUAGGUACACAUACAGCUCAGCCAUGCAGGAGAAAUGGUUGAGACCUGAGCCAAAAGUACUUUGGAGCCAAAUUUGUGACUCAGCCUUCGGGGAAUAGAUACGAUCUGUUAUUACAGUUAUAUACCACCAGCUCCCUCUCAAUACCCCAACGAGAGCACAGAAUGAACUAAGUUGCUGAGAAAAAAUAAAACCAUUACAGUAUCUGAGAAUGUAGGUGGAUCAAAGAGGUUUAACAUCUCAGAAGCUCGUUCACAUGCUGACACAAAACAAUGAAACCAGCUGCGUAUUCCGCUUAAAAUACCUUCAAUAAAUCGAAUGAAAAACAUGAAAAUAUCAAGGAAGCCAGAUGCUCACAAUACCCAUUUCCUACAAAAAUAACUAUUUUGUGUGAGGCAUAAAAAUAGCCGCUUAUCAACCGUAGAGAGGACCAACUGCCCUCAAACUGUCUCUAUGCUGGGACUCUUCCAGCUCUCUGGUGCAUUUAUUAAAGUGGCAUCAAAUACAGAAAGUAAUUGUGUC
rnacentral:lncRNA from 1 species